GUCCCUUUAAGACUUCCUGUGUGGAGGAUGGGAUGUGCGAUGUUCAAAGUGUAUUUUAUCGCUCCGAAUGGCUAUAUUGCCUUUUGACAAAGCCCUGAAGAGUCUGCAAAUGGGUCAGCAUCUUUAAGUCAGAGCUAUAACCCUGAGCUUUGGCUCAGACCUGAUGGCUUGAGCCUGCUGAUGUCCAGGCUUCUGGAAAUCCAGUGCCCAUAGAUGUGGACUAAGGAAGAGCCCCGACCAUGGUCACUCUCAUCACGGAGAAGCUGCAGAACCAGAGUUUGGAUGACCUUACCCGAAGGGCCUGUGAGGCUGUCCCGUAUUCUGCUGAGAAACUGGACAAAAGUGGCCAUUUGUUCCCUUGGACUUGGAGCAGAUUGAGAACAACUGAUUUUGGCUGAGCAGUGGCUGCUGUCUGUCACCUUGGUGCCUGACCAGUGGAAAGAACUUGUGUGUUAUUUUGAAAAUUGAGGUGUAAUUUUGAUUCAGUUUUUCCUAAAGAAGUAUUUUGCAUUUUUAUGGCUUCUACAGUUUGGGAGAGCAUCUCUAUUUUGAAAUGGGUUUUUAGAGGGCAUUCUAUUAAACAUGGUUCUACGU
rnacentral:lncRNA from 1 species